rnacentral:rRNA from 1 species
GCUUGCUCUCCGGGUGACGAGCGGCGGACGGGUGAGUAAUGUCUGGGAAACUGCCUGAUGGAGGGGGAUAACUACUGGAAACGGUAGCUAAUACCGCAUGACCUCGCAAGAGCAAAGUGGGGGACCUUCGGGCCUCACGCCAUCGGAUGUGCCCAGAUGGGAUUAGCUAGUAGGUGGGGUAAUGGCUCACCUAGGCGACGAUCCCUAGCUGGUCUGAGAGGAUGACCAGCCACACUGGAACUGAGACACGGUCCAGACUCCUACGGGAGGCAGCAGUGGGGAAUAUUGCACAAUGGGCGCAAGCCUGAUGCAGCCAUGCCGCGUGUGUGAAGAAGGCCUUAGGGUUGUAAAGCACUUUCAGCGAGGAGGAAGGCGUUGCAGUUAAUAGCUGCAGCGAUUGACGUUACUCGCAGAAGAAGCACCGGCUAACUCCGUGCCAGCAGCCGCGGUAAUACGGAGGGUGCAAGCGUUAAUCGGAAUUCUUGGGCGUAAAGCGCACGCAGGCGGUUUGUUAAGUCAGAUGUGAAAUCCCCGAGCUUAACUUGGGAACUGCA